rnacentral:pre_miRNA from 1 species
GGGGGGAGGCCGGAUCCUGGGCUGUGUCCCAGCGCCCUGUGCUCCGGGGCCUGUGCUGCUGGAUUCGUGCUCCCGGUGGCGCAGCCCCCU